rnacentral:misc_RNA from 1 species
CGUAUUGAAGAGGGGGUGAAUCAGUGGAACUCUGGAACUGUGAUCAUAUCAGAGAGAGAGCAAACACAUAACACAUUGCAUUAUAUACCUACGCAUGAUCUUGCUCGCGAAAAGAAAAAAAAAACAUGUAUGCAAUACUUACAGUUUUAUCAGUAAUCAAGAUAACUUAUCUUUGAUAAGUAGUCUAGUAAAAACAAUCAAAUAUCCUUGAAAUGUAUAAAAAAAAAAAUACAUAUGAAGAACGGCAUAUCUCUCUCAAAAAGUGUUUCACAUAACCCUUAAGCGCCAAAUGAUUGUGGUACAUACAACGAACUUGAUUAAUGAUUAUCAUUUGUUGUUAAAUUAUACUCGUUUGUUCCACGUAUCAACCAGUCCAUUAGCAUCAUUAAGUAUUGUCAAACGUGAUUUGAAAGGAAUGGAAGAAGCAAGCGACGAUGCCUUACAUCCCCAAAGUAUAAAAUUACCUGUUGCCACAGAAAUUUUUGCAAAUCUCAAGAAUGCUCAAAAAUUUGCCAUCGACAUCGGACUGUCUUUGACAAAAAUCGCUUAUUACUCGAUUGUGAAAUAUCGCAAGGCUUUGUAUAAAGAUGGUGAUAGCGAGGAUAAAAGGGAUAAUAAGCUCACUCAAGACUGCAGCGAACGUGUCUAUCAAGUUUUCGAAGGCAAUAGGCUUCAUUUUGUCAAGUUUGAAACACGUCACAUAGAAAGUUGUUUAGAUUUUGUCAAAGCCAACUUGGUAAAAGUUGGGACGAAUAUCAAAGUAACUGGAGGUGGGGCUCACAAAUAUGCAGAGUUGAUAAAGUGCAAGUUAGGGGUUCAGGUCGACAAGAAAGAUGAAAUCUGUUGCCUCAUACAGGGUUGUAACUUUUUACUGAAAAAUAUUGCCAAUGAAGCAUUUGAAUUUGAGAGACGCUCAAAUCCUGAAUAUAACUUUCAGAAAGCUGGCCCAAACAUAUUCCCAUAUUUGCUAGUAAACAUUGGUAGUGGCGUUAGUAUUUUAAAAGUGGAAUCGGAACAAGAAUUCGAAAGAGUUGGCGGUACAGCGACGGGCGGAGGUACAUUUUGGGGCUUGGGUUCACUACUCACUCGUGUCAAGAAUUUUGAUGAAUUGCUUCAGCUGGCUGAAGUAGGAAAUCACAAAAAUAUCGACAUGUUGGUUCGCGAUAUCUAUGGUAGUGAUUAUUCGUUGCAAGGUCUAUCGGGUGAACUGAUUGCCUCAUCGUUUGGCAAAGCUGCAGCAACAUUUGGAGAAAAAAACUUUUCUGAAGCAGAUAUUGCAAGGAGCUUGCUGUUUUUGAUCAGUAACGACAUUGGUCAAAUAGCCAGUCUUUACGCCUCAUUGUACAAUAUUAAUAAAGUAUAUUUUGGAGGAUACUUUUUGCGUAAUCAUCCUUUGUCAAUGCACAGCAUAUCGUAUGCCAUCAAGUAUUGGACCCGAGGUCAAGUAAAGCCACUGUUUUUACGUCACGAAGGUUAUUUAGGUGCGAUUGGUGCCUUUCUACACGAAGUGCAGUCGGAAUCUGUCAAGCACAGUUGGUUGGAAAAUUACGCUGGGUCAUCUGGAUUCAAAAUUGACGUGAAAUCUUCACAACUUGGGAUUCAAAUCAAUCAGCUGGAAAUGGAUCAAUCCGAAAAUGCAGUGGCUUUUUGCCCCCUACUCGUAGAUCCAGUCAAUUACAAUCCCGACACGACAGACUUGGUACAAGAUACAGAAGCUAGGAAUUACUGGCUCGAAUGUUUUCAAAAAUCUGUGGAUAAGUUUAUUACGAGAGCCAUCGACAGUCAACCGCAAAGUCCAACUGCAAAAGACAGAGCCACCAAAUUGAAAGAGAAAUACAUAAGCCGUUUGCAUUAUCUGCGUGAGCAACCAUUUGCCUAUGGAACAUUGACGGUCAGAACACUUUUGGAUACAAUAGAACACUGCAUGAAAGAAUUUGAUUUCCCCGACCCCUAUUUACACCAAAAAAAACGAGAAAAUGAGCAAGCUUUCAAGCACUUGAAAAGCAGAUUGGAAAAUAUAGACAAUUUGGAAGGUACAGCAAAGCUGGAAGAACUUGUAAGGGGGGUAUUGGCUGGUAAUAUUUUCGAUUGGGGAGCCCAAGAAGUAGCUGCAUUGAUGGAAACGUCAAAUUUCACGUUUGAGGAUGCGCAAAAAAAUGUACAAGCUAGGCCAUGGUUACACGAUUCUCUGGACGAUUGGAUAACGAGGUUACAGGAGAAAGCACCGCACAGAUGCGCUGCUAUAUUUGUCGACAAUUCCGGGGUUGACAUUAUUCUCGGCAUACUGCCGUUUGUCAGAGACCUGUUGCAGCGAGGAACAAAAGUUAUAUUGUGUGCCAACUCGAUGCCUGCACUCAACGACGUUACUUAUCCAGAGUUGCUGGUGAUUCUGAAAGACGCAGCCAACAUUUGUGACGUAAUUGAGUAUGCUUUGAAGGAAAAACGAUUGUUUGCUAUGGAAACAGCUCAAGCCGGCCCAUGCUUGGAUUUAAGCCGUUUAAAUGUAGACUUGUGUUUAGAGAUGGUAAAACACAACGUUGAUCUCAUUGUAGUCGAAGGUAUGGGACGGACUCUACAUACCAAUCUUUACGCUAAAUUCAAGUGCGAUUGCUUAAAGCUUGCCGUUGUUAAAAACCGAUGGCUCGCAAAGCGACUUGGUGGUGAUAUGUAUGCUGUAAUAUGUAAAUAUGAGAACAAAAUUUAUCAAGUAGAGGACGUAAAAUCAUACGAAGUUUAAUAGCCAUCGGGUUACAAAGUCUUUCCUACACACAAGAAACUUGCAUAUCGUUUCUACGAACUGAAAAUUAUAACGUUAUUACGUCAUCGGAAAUUAAUUAUUUGCUAAGUAUAUAUGUAUUACCUCUAAUGCCUCUGUAUUUUUAUCAUCCUUUUUUUUUCAUCUGUAUGUUAAUUACUUUCAACUUGAGCGUUUAUUCCUGCCACGAAUGCAUCCAAAAUGACUUUAUUCGCUGUCACUGUCGAAAUGGCUUUCAAGUUUCCUUUUCACAGGCUCUUGGUACAAAGCAGCUGGCUGACAAGGCAGUUUCAGUGAUAAAAUUCAUCGUGAGAUAACCUUGCUUGCUGAAACCCGAGUUUGGUGGUAGAGGAGGUAUAGCAGCUCCAGCACGCUUACGACUACUGGGCGUUUGAAAGCCAGUAAACCCAAAUCCUUUAGACUUUUUGGCAUGGUUACUUUGACGGUAACUCAUGGUUAUAUCCUUACUUGAACACUAUAGCUGAUGACAAUAUUUCUGGAAAAAAAGACGUUUUUGAUAAACACACAAUGACACAACUUAAAAAUUGUACUAGGAGAAAAAGACAUACAACUAC